rnacentral:rRNA from 1 species
GACGAACGCUGGCGGCGUGCUUAACACAUGCAAGUCGAACGGUAAGGCCCUUCGGGGUACACGAGUGGCGAACGGGUGAGUAACACGUGGGUGAUCUGCCCUGCACUUCGGGAUAAGCCUGGGAAACUGGGUCUAAUACCGGAUAGGACCCCUGCCUGCAUGGGUGGUGGUGGAAAGAUUUAUCGCCGAGGGAGUAGCCCGCGUAGGAUUAGCUAGUUGGUGAGGUAAUGGUCCACCAAGGCGACGAUCCUUAGCUGGUCUGUGAGGAUGAUCAGCCACACUGGGACUGAGACACGGCCCAGACUCCUACGGGAGGCAGCAGUGGGGAAUAUUGGACAAUGGGCGAAAGCCUGAUCCAGCCAUGCCGCGUGAGUGAUGAAGGCCUUAGGGUUGUAAAGCUCUUUCGCCAGGGAAGAUAAUGACGGUACCUGGAAAAGAAGCCUCGGCUAACUCCGUGCCAGCCGCCGCCGUAA